rnacentral:lncRNA from 1 species
AAUCAAAAUCUAAUAGGUAAGAUAUAGUAAAAUUAUUUUCUAUAUGUAUCCUUUAUAAUCUUUUAACUUGUUAUUCGUGAAUCAAAUCGUGUGUGGCUAAUUAAUAAAUAACGCGAACACGAGCUAAAUUUUUUGGUUCGAUACUUUAAUAAGCUAGCUCGAGAUCGGUUCGAAACGAGCAAAACACAAGCUGUCCCAGCUUACUCUUGUUCAGCUCGUUGACAACCCUAAGGGGCAGUUUGAUUACAUGUAAUUAUAAAUACAGUAUAGUUGGAGAUAUAUGCAGUUGAAAAUGCAGCAGUUGUAACUACAUAUAUCUUGUUUGGUUGGAUGUAGUAGAAAGUGUUGCAACUAUAAAUAAUUUAUUUGAUUGAAUGCAGUUGAUUAAUGAUUUUUAAAAUUUUAUCAUUUUACAAAUAUGAUGGUGAGAUUAUCUACAAUAUAAAAAUAAAAAGUAUUUUUUAUUUAAAAAAUAAUUAAGGAGGUAAGCAUAUUUUUUGUUUAAAAUUAUUCUCUUCAACCGCUGCAGUUGAAGCUGCGGCCAAUUUGAGUAGAGUUCGAACUGCUGCAGUUGGAACUCCUCCUGUAAUUUCUAAUGUAGCAAUUAUAAUUAAAUAUAUCAAACUAAAUACUAAAUUUUUAUUUGCAUACAGUUGUAACUGCAGUGCAGUUUUAACUGCAUGCAACAAAAGUG